UUCGGGGGGGGCAAGCGUUGUUCGGAAUUACUGGGCGUAAAGGGCUCGUAGGUGGCCAACUAAGUCAGACGUGAAAUCCCUCAGCUUAACUGGGGAACUGCGUCUGAUACUGGAUGGCUUGAGUUUGGGAGAGGGAUGCGGAAUUCCAGGUGUAGCGGUGAAAUGCGUAGAUAUCUGGAGGAACACCGGUGGCGAAGGCGGCAUCCUGGACCAAUACUGACACUGAGGAGCGAAAGCGUGGGGAGCGAACAGG
rnacentral:rRNA from 1 species